rnacentral:lncRNA from 1 species
UCUAAUGAAACUUUUACCCAAUCAGAACUAUCAUAAUGGCGACACUGCCCUGGGUUCCUCACCGAACUGACAAAGCUCACAUUGGUCGCUGGAACCAGUACUGUCGACGCCUUCGCUUGGAUCCGAAAUCCAGCAAUACCACUGUCGCAAUUUGCCGCAGUGAUCCACUACUAUAACCUAGCAGAAAAACCCUACCACCGUCAGGAUUGAGCUCCUUCCACAACGAUCGGAAGGAAGAAUUGGAAUCACAGCAAAUGCUGCAACCCUUCGGAAGGAGAGAACUUCACGUCGUAACCGAGCUCUCCUCGCCUAAUCACGGAAACUGAACACAGUGCUUGAUUGCACCACCUCUGUAAUUCAAUGGCGCUCCAUCAAUUAAGGCAGAGCGGAUCUCUUCAGUGUCGUUCGACCGAGCACUUGCAACACCACUAGAAGGUUACCCUGAUCUGGAGAAGAUGACUGAACGUGAAGUCGCCACUAGCACUCUCUCGCAUCCAAGCUAGAUGCACUGUUCCGCUACCCAAGCCAAGAUCUAGACAAUGCCAUGAUUGCAACUGGGUUUAGGUAUCACCAGCAACCAUCUUUGACGCACCGUGCAGCACCUUUGAACCUUCGAGGUCACUUCGUUGAAUAAUUAAGAUCUUGACUAACCGUCGUAAUUUGUAAUGAGCCAAGCGACACGAGAAGGGAAGAGACAACUCGCUCCAAAACUAAGAAUUGGCACCGCCGCUCUGUCUAGCAGCAACAUCCAGACUUUUCAACGUUCCACAACACCAA